AGAGUUUGAUCAUGGCUCAGAACGUACGCUGGCGGCACGCCUAAUACAUGCAAGUCGAACGGAGUAGCAAUACUUAGUGGCAGACGGGUGAGUAACAUGUGGGUAUCUUCCCUUUGGUGAGGAAUAACACGAGGAAACUUGUGCUAAUACCUCAUAAGUCUUUACGGAGAAAGCUUUAUGCGCCAAUGGAUGAGCCUGCACUUGAUUAGUUUGUUGGUAGGGUAAUGGCCUACCAAGACUUUGAUCAAUAGCUGAUUUGAGAGGAUGAUCAGCCACAUUGGGACUGAGACACGGCCCAAACUCCUACGGGAGGCAGCAGUAGGGAAUCUUGCACAAUGGAGGAAACUCUGAUGCAGCGAUGCCGCGUGAGUGAAGAAGGCCCUUGGGUUGUAAAGCUCUUUCGUCGGGGAAGAAAAUGACUGUACCCGAAUAAGAAGGUCCGGCUAACUUCGUGCCAGCAGCCGCGGUAAUACGAAGGGACCUAGCGUAGUUCGGAAUUACUGGGCUUAAAGAGUUCGUAGGUGGUUAAAAAAGUUGGUGGUGAAAGCCCAGAGCUUAACUCUGGAAUGGCCAUCAAAACUUUUUAGCUAGAGUAUGAUAGAGGAAAGCAGAAUUUCUAGUGUAGAGGUGAAAUUCGUAGAUAUUAGAAAGAAUACCAAUUGCGAAGGCAGCUUUCUGGAUCAUUACUGACACUGAGGAACGAAAGCAUGGGUAGCGAAGAGGAUUAGAUACCCUCGUAGUCCAUGCCGUAAACGAUGUGUGUUAGAUGUUUGGAAUUUAUUUUCAGUAUCACAGCGAAAGCAAUAAACACACCGCCU
rnacentral:rRNA from 1 species